GACGAACGCUGGCGGCGUGCUUAACACAUGCAAGUCGAGCGGUAAGGCCCUUUCGGGGGUACGACGAGCGGCGAACGGGUGAGUAACACGUGGGUGACCUGCCCUCAGCUCUGGGAUAAGCCUGGGAAACCGGGUCUAAUACUGGAUAUGACUCCAUGACGCAUGUUGUGGGGUGGAAAGCCUUGUGCGGCUGAGGAUGGGCCCGCGGCCUAUCAGCUUGUUGGUGGGGUGAGGCCUACCAAGGCGACGACGGGUAGCCGGCCUGAGAGGGCGACCGGCCACACUGGGGACUGAGACACGGCCCAGACUCCUACGGGA
rnacentral:rRNA from 1 species